rnacentral:lncRNA from 1 species
GAAGCAUUCUCAAAUAUUUCAAUAUCUUCACUGGGAAGCAGUUGAAUAAGCAGGCUAAUUAGGUCCGUCAGGGGUUUAUUGAUAAGCAGAAGGUCUUCAGCAGCCUGCGUGUCCCCUCCUGCGCCGGAUUUCUGUGCCUGCAAAGUCUGGCGCACAAUGUUUGUUGUGAACAUCAGCAUGCAGUGCAAAAUGUCAAGCAAGGACAGCAGCAGUGCAUUUGCUGUCUUGGUGCUGCUUUUAUCAUCUGCCUCCAAGUACAGAGCCACAG